CGUACACUCCUGCGGGAGGCAGCAGUGGGGAAUAUUGGACAAUGGGCGCAAGCCUGAUCCAGCCAUGCCGCGUGAGUGAUGAAGGCCCUAGGGUUGUAAAGCUCUUUCACCGGAGAAGAUAAUGACGGUAUCCGGAGAAGAAGCCCCGGCUAACUUCGUGCCAGCAGCCGCGGUAAUACGAAGGGGGCUAGCGUUGUUCGGAAUUACUGGGCGUAAAGCGCACGUAGGCGGAUCGAUCAGUCAGGGGUGAAAUCCCAGGGCUCAACCCUGGAACUGCCUUUGAUACUGUCGAUCUGGAGUAUGGAAGAGGUGAGUGGAAUUCCGAGUGUAGAGGUGAAAUUCGUAGAUAUUCGGAGGAACACCAGUGGCGAAGGCGGCUCACUGGUCCAUUACUGACGCUGAGGUGCGAAAGCGUGGGGAGCAAACAGGAUUAGAUACCCGUGUAGUCCCAUGAU
rnacentral:rRNA from 1 species